rnacentral:rRNA from 1 species
GGGACACGUGAAACCCUGUGGGAAGCAGGAGGGACCACCCUCCAAGGCUAAAUACUACCUAGUGACCGAUAGCGUAUAGUACCGUGAGGGAAAGGUGAAAAGAACCCCGGGAGGGGAGUGAAAUAGAACCUGAAACCCUGCACUUACAAGCUGUGGAAGCACAUUUCUUGUGUGACCGCGUACUUUUUGUAGAACGGGCCAACGAGUUACGUUAAGUAGCAAGGUUAAGCACUUAAGGUGCGGAGCCGUAGCGAAAGCGAGUUUUAACUGAGCGUUCAGUUACUUGACGUAGACCCGAAACCGGGCGACCUACCCAUGAGCAGGAUGAAGCGAAAGUAAAAUUUCGUGGAGGUCCGAACCCACGAGCGUUGAAAAGCUCGGGGAUGACUUGUGGGUAGCGGUGAAAUUCCAAUCGAGCCCGGAGAUAGCUGGUUCUCCCCGAAAUAGCUUUAGGGCUAGCCUCAAGGUGAGAGAUACGGAGGUAGAGCACUGAAUGUCCUAGGGGGUAUUGCACCUACCGAAGACUAUCAAACUCCGAAUGCCGUCAUCUUAUACUUGGGAGUCAGACUGUGGGUGAUAAGAUUCAUAGUCGAAAGGGCAACAGCCCAGAUCGUCAGCUAAGGUCCCUAAAUGUAAGUUAAGUGGUAAAGGAUGUGGGAUUGCACAGACAACCAGGAUGUUGGCUUAGAAGCAGCCACUCAUUCAAAGAGUGCGUAAUAGCUCACUGGUCGAGUGAUCCUGCGCCGAAGAUUUCCGGGGCUAAAACUUACUACCGAAGCUACGGCAUCAGUAAUGAUGGGUAGGGGAGCUUCCCAUACGGGUUGAAGCAUGACCGUAAGGACAUGUGGACAGUAUGGGAGUGAGAAUGUUGGCAUGAGUAGCGAGAUGUGGGUGAGAAUCCCACAGGCCGUAAACCCAAGGUUUCCAGGGGAAGGUUCGUCCGCCCUGGGUUAGUCGGGACCUAAGCUGAGGCCGAAAGGCGUAGGUGAUGGACAACAGGUUGAUAUUCCUGUACUACCGAUAACCGUUUGAGAGAAGGGAUGACACAGUAGGAUAAGCUAAGCACACUGUUGGUUAUGUGUGCCCAAGCAUUGAGGCAGUCAAAGUAGGCAAAUCCGCUUUGAUAAUGCUGGGAUGUGAUGGGGAGCGAAAUUUAGUAGCGAAGUAGCUGAUUUCACACUGUCAAGAAAAGUCUCUAUCGAGGUUAAAGGUACCCGUACCGCAAACCGACACAGGUGGGUGAGGAGAGUAUCCUAAGGCCAGCGAGAGAACUGUUGUUAAGGAACUCGGCAAAAUGACCCCGUAACUUAGGGAUAAGGGGUGCCACCAUCAGGUGGCCGCAGAGAAUAGGCCCAAGCGACUGUUUACCAAAAACAUAGGUUUCUGCUAAGUCGCAAGACGAUGUAUAGGAGCUGACGCCUGCCCGGUGCUGGAAGGUUAAGGGGAUCUGUUAGAGCAAUCGAAGCAGUGAACUUAAGCCCCAGUAAACGGCGGCCGUAACUAUAACGGUCCUAAGGUAGCGAAAUUCCUUGUCGGGUAAGUUCCGACCCGCACGAAAGGCGUAACGAUUUGGGCACUGUCUCAACAACAGACUCGGUGAAAUUGUAAUUCCGGUGAAGAUGCCGGAUACCUGCGACAGGACGGAAAGACCCCAUGGAGCUUUACUGUAGCUUGACAUUGGGUCUUGGUACUACAUGUACAGGAUAGGUGGGAGGCUUUGAAACCAGGACGC